AAUCCAAUCAAGCCUGGCUUGGUAUUGGGCGUCGAGGUCCCCCCGCGCCUCAAUUUCACCGGCUGGCCGUCGCCCGUCUUAGCGUUGUGACACACUUCUCGCUACCGAUGGGACCGGACCACGCCGUCACAACUCCACGAAUUUCCGUCGAAAUUUGAUUAA
rnacentral:misc_RNA from 1 species